AAGAAAACAAAAGCUCUCGACCCUUUCGACCUUCUCCCUCUCAGUUCUUGAACACUCUAGGUCCUCUCUCUCUCAGACCUCGGCGCCGAUGGAGGUCAUGGCGUUCGUGCUGAGCUGAUAGGACGACUUCACCGAGUCGACUCAGUGGCAAGACGGCAUCUUCUACGCUCUCUGCACAGCCGACGCCCCUCGGUUCCUCCGUUGCUCUGGUCUCUCUCUCUCUCUCUCUGUUCGCUAUGUAUGAUUCGAUUUCAUGCUUGAUUUUCUAUGGAUUUGAGUAGAGGUUUGGGAUCGGUUAAAUUGAUGAAUAGAAGUUAUAUCAUUGUGUAGUGCAAAUUCGAUUACCCAAAUCUCUGCUCCGAUUUACUCUUAUCCUUGAAAUCCUAAUUCACCGGUUGUUCUUACUCUCCAGCGAGAAAUUAGGGUUCGAAUUGGGGCUCGCUCUUCACUUCUCCAAACCCGCCUCCAAGUCCGUCUACCCAAUUGAUAAUCGAUAAUCGAAGCUCCACUUUGAGUUACCCUGACGUUAUUCUUCAUCGAUUCUCAUCAUUACUCUCUCUCUCUCUAUCUCUCUCGACUCUGUCUACUCCAGAAUCUUCCACACUGCUUCUGUGGAAAAUGAAUACGGUGUGUUUUGUUUGAGCUCUUUAGUGGGUUCAACGUGUUUUGGAGAAUGGUGUGGAAUUGUUGCUGGGUUUUUGGUUUUCUGUGGAACUGUAUCUGGGUUUUCAUUUUCUUGAAGGGUUAUGGUGAUCCUGUUGUUUGGGAUCAGAUAGUGUCUGAUCUGGGUUUAGUUAUUGUGUUUGUUCUUCUUUCUGGGUUUUCUAAAGAGUUAGUGAUCCAUUGUGUUGAACUAAUGGAGAAUUUGCAUUAAUAAGAAGAUAAAAACUUUGCAGUUGGAAAACUAGAAAAUUGGAUCUUUAGGUGUAAUUACUGGGGUGCUUUGUGUGUGUGUGUGUGUUGUAGACAAAUUUAUGAAGAGUGAGAAUCUUAAUUGUGGGCUUUUGGUUUGGUGCGCAUUGUUUUGAAGAAAGCAAGGAUGACUAAAAAGGAAAAUCUGAUGCGAAUGUAGCAAAUGGGGAGUUGAUAAAUACUCUUGUGAUUCUUUCUGGUGACCUUGUCCAAGUUGUUACAAAGGGAGUUUUACUUCCAGCUGAUGGUGUUGCUGGAAAUAUGUCUGGUGACAGAACUGAAGCUGUUACAAGUACUGUUUCUUCUAAUGAGUGUUCAAAGAAUGGUGCGAAGAAGUCAAGUGAGUCUGCCAUAAAUAAGAAGGGUGGAAGGGUGCUAAUGCAAAAUGGGAAUAGCUUUCAUGGUGUUACACCCACAAGGGCUGGCAAGGAACAUGGAGGGAGGAAUAUGCCACUGAAUCAUAUUGAGAAUGCCUCAGAACUUGAAAAUAAGAGAAGUGAUGAGGUAAACUUAUCAGAGGUAAUCUUUUUUUUUUAGGCAUCAUUUUGUUUCUUAAAACUUGAUGAACUUGGUUGUACCUAAAGUCAAGUAGUUUACCACAUCUCUGGCCAAUUUUCUUAAGUAGCUCAAGCGUAAAGAAUCCUAAAUUACUGGCAUAAUCUGUCCACCUUGAGGAAUGUAAAAGGAUCGAUCGUUGAAGUAGGAGUUUUACAAUAGGUGAUAUGAAUAGCAAUGAUCUACCUUUCCCUAUCCGCAGUACACAUCUUUGCACUAUCUGAUGAUAGAAUCCUCUAGUGUCAGCAUGAACAAGAGGUAUGCAUUCUAUUCUUCUUUUUAUUUAUAUCAUUUUAUAGUUGAGAGUAACACUUUGGGCACCACCCUUGAGCUUUGGCCCCAGCCCUUUGUGCCUUAACUCUGGCAUUAGAAGUGCUCACAUGUUAAUGUACCUCCACCAGUGUUCUGUGAUGGACUUUUGGCAUGUAUCUCUUGAGUGAAAAUGCCUCUUCGACUUCUCUUGGACAUAGGCACUUUAUAGGAAAGAAAGUGUAUGUUAAGAAACUCUUCCAAUAGUGCUCUACCACUUUGUGAUAUAUGCUAUACUCAUUUGUGCUAAUCGUUUGUAUAGGCUGACAAAGUUCACGAUACAAAGAUGACAUCCAAGCUAUUUCCUUUCGGAGUAUCUUGUGAUCCUUCCGCUGUAAUUGUUCAACGAGACAUUCAAUGCUGUGAGAGGACAACUUCAGAAUACACUUCCUCUAGUUCAAAUGUUGUUUCUUCAGGUUCCUCAACUUUGUUGAAUCCAGCUGCUAAUGUCUCAAGUCGUAAUUCAGAAACAACAUCAACUGAAAUGAUCCCUCAUGGUUCAGAGUUAAAUAAAAAUGGCAAGGAAUUUAAGCUCAACCCAAGAGCAAAAGUAUUCUCGCCAUCUUUUACAAAGCCCAUAGCAGCCACCUCUCCUGCAGUGCCAACAGUGGCAAGCAUGGGUUUUAUACCAACCAACUGCCCCGUGGUACCUGGUCCUGCCGUCCAGCCAGAAGUUGGAUCGAAUCCAACUAUGUACUGUGCCAUUUUGGCUUGUGUACAUUACUAUGACCUGGUGAUAUUGAUGAGCGCGAGAUUGUUACCCCUGAUGUCAUGACCAAGUAUUUCCUAGGUAAUCCUAGGUAAAUCAAAACCAGUUCAGUUCAAUAGUAUGUUUACCAAUGCUUAGUACCCAUUUUGUGCUAUUCAAGUGACUAGUUUUGUUUUAUUAUUACUUUUAUUAUUUUGUUACCUUAAGAGAUAAGGUGGGCUGAUGGUUGCCGACGAAAAAAGAGGAGGGAUGAAAGGUUAAGAAAGAAAAAGAAAAAGAAGGGGAGUACUGGAGAAAGAAGAGGCGGAGGGAUCAGAUCAAAAAAACAAAAAACAAAAAAGAAGAGGGAGAGAGAAAGAGGAAGGAAUGAAGACAGAAGAAAAGAAGGGGGCGAUUUGAAAUGAAAAGGGGUAUACCCUUCUUGUAGCUCCUUCCAGGGUUUCUUUUCAAGUUGCUUAGCAUCUUUUAUUGUUUUACUACUGUGAGUGACUUUGUUAUAUUCUCUGUUUUCAUUUUUUCUUGUUGGUUUUACUUUGGCUUAUUCAUAAUCUGUUAAAGCUUUUGAAGUGUUAACUAAUUGGUUAAGUUUGGUGUCUGAUGACAUGAGUUUUGGAGUUAUUUGACAUUGCCACAAAGAAAGUCUCUUCCUAAUAUGCGCUGUGACAUUUCCAAGCUUCUUGAGACUGGCCAGGAAGCUACAGCUCGGAUUCGGGUAGAGCAUGUUAUUAGAGAAGAGAAUAUGAUGGCAACUUAGGAGAUCAUCAGGUUAUUUGCUAAGCUUAUUUCUAUUCGCAGAUUGAGGUCUGCUGUUCUUCUGCUGAUUACUUCUUCUAAAUAUAUUGCAAAGAAAUUGGGGCCUUGUGUGCAAUGAAGGAAGUUGACUCCUUCCUGAUGGUCCUAGAUCUGCAAAAAGUAUAAAGCAAUUGGAGCAGGUCCUUCCAGGUUUUAUUGAAGCCAAAGGCAGCUGAAGGCUAAGAGCCAUCGAGAAUAUGAAUGAUCCUGAUUCAUGUAUAACUAGCUAGGAAUUAAUGCUCUUGCUUGGUACAUUAUCUAGUUACUUGAAUGUAUAGAUGUUUGAAUAAUGAUACUUGAAUUAUAUGGAUUAUAGUAUCGUUUAUAUCGUAAUAUAUCGAGCAU